GACGAACGCUGGCGGCGUGCCUAAUACAUGCAAGUCGAGCGAAGUUUUUCUGGUGCUUGCACUAGAAAAACUUAGCGGCGAACGGGUGAGUAACACGUAAAGAACCUGCCUCAUAGACUGGGACAACUAUUGGAAACGAUAGCUAAUACCGGAUAACAGUAUUUCUCGCAUGAGAGAUAUUUAAAAGUUGGUUAUGCUAACACUAUGAGAUGGCUUUGCGGUGCAUUAGCUAGUUGGUGGGGUAAAGGCCCACCAAGGCGACGAUGCAUAGCCGACCUGAGAGGGUGAUCGGCCACACUGGGACUGAGACACGGCCCAGACUCCUACGGGAGGCAGCAGUAGGGAAUCUUCCGCAAUGGGCGAAAGCCUGACAGAGCAGCGCCGAGUGAGUGAAGAAGGAUUUCGGUUCGUAAAGGUCUGUUGUUAGGGAAGAAUGGAUAUGUAGUAACUAUACAUGUAAGGGACGGUACCUAACCAGAAAGCCACAGCUAACUACGUG
rnacentral:rRNA from 1 species